rnacentral:sRNA from 1 species
UUUUUAUUUUAUUUUUGGACAAUGUUUGUUUUCAUUCCAUAAUGUAGAAGCCAAAUACAAAGAUAAAGGGAAAAAGUUCCAAAGUUUAAAGCACAACAAUAAGGGGCAUACUCCAAAAGUUACCAGAAAAAUGAUAAAAAGAUAGAUAGGGCUAAUCGACAAAGGGUCCUUGAGAGUUUUGAGCCAAAAGCAAAGAUGCUUAUGGUACUUGUGAGAUCAAAGUUUAUCGACGACUCUUUCAAGAGCGAUUCAAAGGAAAAACAAAUUGUCUCUGUCAAAAGACGAAGUGGCGUUAAUGAAGGGGUCAAAGACAUGAUUCUCGCCGGCACGAGGAGAGCUACAUGAAGUAGAGCUUUGACAAAGGUUUGGGUAGUGGUGAUGGUGCUCUGGUGCUUGGAUUUAUUUGCUAGAAUUGAUGCCGAAUGAAAGUUGAGGUUAGGCAAACAAUAGCAAACAUGAAGUGAGGUGUAUGACUUGAAGACGUUAAGCGAGCAUGAUGAGGGGUGGUCCUUUGACAAGCUUCCCAAGCCACCAUAAAAACUCUCGCAUGAAGGUUCAACAGCAUUAGACCAAAGUCUUUCAAGCAAAGAAAGUCAUACCACAACAUA